rnacentral:rRNA from 1 species
UACGUAGGGUGCAAGCGUUAAUCGGAAUUACUGGGCGUAAAGCGUGCGCAGGCGGUUUUGUAAGUCUGUCGUGAAAUCCCCGGGCUCAACCUGGGAAUUGCGAUGGAGACUGCAAGGCUAGAAUCUGGCAGAGGGGGGUAGAAUUCCACGUGUGAGCAGUGAAAUGCGUAGAGAUGUGGAGGAACACCGAUGGCGAAGGCAGCCCCCUGGGUCAAGAUUGACGCUCAUGCACGAAAGCGUGGG